GGGGACUACGAGCAUAAGCUUAAAACCCAAAGGACUUGGCGGUGCUGUAGACCCCCCUAGAGGAGCCUGUUCUAGAACCGAUAACCCCCGUUCAACCUCACCUUUUCUUGUUCAUCCCGUCUAUAUACCGCCGUCGUCAGCAUACCCUGUGAAGGAAAUAAAGUAAGCAAAACUGGUAAAACCCAAAACGCCAGGUCGAGGUGUAGCAUACGAAAAGGAAAGAAAUGGGCUACAUUUCCUAUUUUAGGAAACACGAAUUGUGUCUUGAAAAAUCACAUGAAGGAGGAUUUAGCAGUAAGCAGAAAACAGAGUGUUCUACUGAACCCGGCCCUGAAGCACGCACACACCGCCCGUCACCCUCCCCAAAUCAAAAUCAAUCUGUAUUUAAAUUAUUACUGAACAAAAGGGGAGGUAAGUCGUAACAUGGUAAGUGUACCGGAAGGUGCACUUGGAAUAAA
rnacentral:rRNA from 1 species